UGUGAUACCUUUAUUAUUGACGAGCUGUACUACAACGACGACGACAAAAGACGACCGGGAAGCCGUCCGACUAUACCCACUUCACUGACCUUUUCAGUUUUCAUCAUUAUAUAUAAUAGAAAGCACUCGCUGGACUGUGAACGAGAUCCCGACCCGUUCGACCCUCUUCAUAGGUGAACUCGGCGGCGGGUGGUUUUGUCUGCAACCCCCCCUCGCGCCCCACUAACUACCUGUACACCACUGAGUACCGGGAAAUGAUCCGCGUAACGACCACCCCACAAGCUCAACACUGUGCCAUUAUUCGAUUAUUUUCGUUCGGAGACCAGUGUGGUGCGCAUGAGAUCGCACAAUACUGAAUAUUUGCAGAUUUACUGUAAGUAAUACUACAGCAGUAUAGUGUUCGUUAGCAGUCCAGACCGCCGUUCACCAUCCCGUGAUGGAUGUCCUCAGUCGCUGUCGAGAAAAUUCCAAUAAGAUUUCAUCUUACCAAUUUCCCGGGUUACACGCUUUUGGACUUUCAGCUCACCACAACAUUGGCCUGUGUAAUAUUACAAGUAUGAUGUUUUCAGUUACCGACAUUUUUACCCCGUAUAACCGCCGUUUGUUUGUUUGGUGUAGGUAGAUUGUUGAUGCAUGUGUAAUACGUUGUUUACCGCUAACCUCUCGUCGUCCUCAGGUCUUACAUGAUUAAAACACGAAUACUGAUCGCUGAGUGUAACAAUGAUGACGCUUACCCGACGCUCCACCGACUCAGGUCGUAGUUUCGCCUCGUCUACGCGAUAUUCUUGUAAAAAUCUAUUUCAGGAGCACGAGAAGUAAUUGUCAUGGCUCAAAGACACGCGUGUUUUGUUCCGAUUGAAGAAAUCCAGAACCAAAGAGGUUAUGAGGUUUCAUAGUUUCACUGAAGCAGUACUCGAAGAAGAGAAGAAAUAAGUUCGAUAUCUAAGUAGCACUUCAAAGAAGAGAUAAUAUCAUGGAUAUAAUGUACACAUCAUGCCAUCAGAUGAUGAUUACCUGACUAUAUCAAACUAACUGCAUGGUACAUAAUCUAACUAAAUACAACAGAAUAAAUAUGAAAGUAUCAAGAGAUUUAGAUUUAAAGGAAUGGAUAACUUAAGUACGUUAUUUAGUAUAUGUCUGAGCAUAUAUAUAUAAAAGAUUUCAAAUGGAAAUAUGAAGAAAGAAAAAUAAAUGAGCAUGAUGGGAUAUUUUUUGAAGGAAUAUAUUCUUAAGUUACGGAUCAGCAAUACCCAAGGUUACCAAAAAAGUAUUUAUCUAUGAUGCAGGGUAUUUAAAACCAGAAAAAAAAACAUUUUUAUUCAUUAAAAUUUGCUUAGAAAGCACUUGGACAAAAAUAUUAACAAAGUUUAUACCUAUCAGUUAUUUUUUAUAAGUUAAAAUUAAUUUUUGUUUUUUUGGUAAAUUACGUAAUAAAUAUUGCUUAUAUUUAACUAACA